ACUACGGGAUGCAGCAGUGGGGGAUAUUGCACAAUGGGGGAAACCCUGAUGCAGCGACGCCGCGUGAGUGAAGAAGUAUUUCGGUAUGUAAAGCUCUAUCAGCAGGGAAGAAAAUGACAGUACCUGACCAAGAAGCCCCGGCUAACUACGUGCCAGCAGCCGCGGUAAUACGUAGGGGGCACGCGUGAUCCGGAUUUACUGGGUGGAAAGGGAGCGUAGACGGUUAGGUACGUCUGGAGUGAAAGCCCGGCGCCCAACCCCGGGACUGCUUUGGAAACUGUGUAACUGGAGUACAGGAGGGGCAGGCGGAAUUCCUGGUGUAGUGGUGAAAUGCGUAGAUAUCAGGAGGAACACCGGCGGCGAAGGCGGCCUGCUGGACUGAAACUGACGUUGAGGCUCGAAAGCGUGGGGAGCAAACAGGAUUAGAUACCCUUGUAGUC
rnacentral:rRNA from 1 species